rnacentral:rRNA from 2 species
UGCAGUCGAACGAAGUCUUCGGACUUAGUGGCGGACGGGUGAGUAACACGUGGGAACGUGCCUUUAGGUUCGGAAUAACUCAGGGAAACUUGUGCUAAUACCGAAUGUGCCCUUCGGGGGAAAGAUUUAUCGCCUUUAGAGCGGCCCGCGUCUGAUUAGCUAGUUGGUGAGGUAAAGGCUCACCAAGGCGACGAUCAGUAGCUGGUCUGAGAGGAUGAUCAGCCACAUUGGGACUGAGACACGGCCCAAACUCCUACGGGAGGCAGCAGUGGGGAAUCUUGCGCAAUGGGCGAAAGCCUGACGCAGCCAUGCCGCGUGAAUGAUGAAGGUCUUAGGAUUGUAAAAUUCUUUCACCGGGGACGAUAAUGACGGUACCCGGAGAAGAAGCCCCGGCUAACUUCGUGCCAGCAGCCGCGGUAAUACGAAGGGGGCUAGCGUUGCUCGGAAUUACUGGGCGUAAAGGGAGCGUAGGCGGACAUUUAAGUCAGGGGUGAAAUCCCGGGGCUCAACCUCGGAAUUGCCUUUGAUACUGGGUGUCUUGAGUGUGAGAGAGGUAUGUGGAACUCCGAGUGUAGAGGUGAAAUUCGUAGAUAUUCGGAAGAACACCAGUGGCGAAGGCGACAUACUGGCUCAUUACUGACGCUGAGGCUCGAAAGCGUGGGGAGCAAACAGGAUUAGAUACCC